GCCAGCAUGGUGUAAUGGUUUGAGCAUUGGAUUAUGACUCAGGAGACCAGGGUUCGAUUCCCUGCAUGGCCA
rnacentral:tRNA from 1 species